rnacentral:rRNA from 1 species
GACGAACGCUGGCGGCGUGCCUAAUACAUGCAAGUAGAACGCUGAAGGAGGAGCUUGCUUCUCUGGAUGAGUUGCGAACGGGUGAGUAACGCGUAGGUGACCUGCCUGGUAGCGGGGGAUAACUAUUGGAAACGAUAGCUAAUACCGCAUAAGAGUAGAUGUCGCAUGACAUUUGCUUAAAAGGUGCAAUUGCAUCACUACCAGAUGGACCUGCGUUGUAUUAGCUAGUUGGUGAGGUAACGGCUCACCAAGGCAACGAUACAUAGCCGACCUGAGAGGGUGAUCGGCCACACUGGGACUGAGACACGGCCCAGACUCCUACGGGAGGCAGCAGUAGGGAAUCUUCGGCAAUGGACGGAAGUCUGACCGAGCAACGCCGCGUGAGUGAAGAAGGUUUUCGGAUCGUAAAGCUCUGUUGUAAGAGAAGAACGAGUGUGAGAGUGGAAAGUUCACACUGUGACGGUAUCUUACCAGAAAGGGACGGCUAACUACGUG